rnacentral:lncRNA from 1 species
AUAUUCUUAUAUAGUUAGAAAACCGAAUUAUAGCCAUAUUGGCAUUCUCACUAUAAAUGAAGUGUGAGAGAAAUCCAGAGACCUUUGAAAUGGAAAAGCCUGGGAGACUGCAAAGAUUCCACCAGCAGUAGAGGGGAUGGACUGAAAAGGUUUGGAACCUUGGAAAAGGGAACAACCCAGGAGUCAGUUGGUCAGCUCUCUCUUGACUUGAGACUUCUGGAGGAGAGGUCAAUCUAUAAUUGUAUCCUGAUCCAAGAAAUCUUUCCUUCCCUGAACCUGAUCACAAUCCUCCCAAACCAAGCAACCAAAAGUAAAUCAUAAAAAAGACUCAAAGGGAAACAUUCGUCCUAUAACCAUCAGUGCUAUUGUAAAAAGAGGUUACUGUUGUUGUUUUUGAAGAGGUGCCUUGGCAGGAGUGGUGGCUCAGAACCUGUGAUUUUAUCUGGAUAGGGGACCAGUACUUUUGGUGUGAAAAUUCCCUCUACCAUUCUGUACUGUUGCUUCCCUGCUGGCUGCCUGGUCAGAGCCCCGAACUUCUGUGCUGGUACCAAGGCACUCUGUCACUGCUGCAGCCUUCACCCUGGAAUCCUAGUCAGCUGGAUUCUUACCACAGGUCUCAGUGCAGUAGAUGUGGAGGGACAUUGGAGACUGAGCUUUUCUGUCCUUUGCUGGCUUAUUAUCUAAAUUAUUGCUAGACUGUAUUAAGCUGAUCUGUAGUGGAUCCACUCUGAGGCCAAAACCUCCAGAGGCAGAGACUCAAGAUAUAGGAGUGGUGGCUGAACCAAGAUGCCCUCCUCCCUGUCCAUCUUCUCCAGCUGCCUCCCUUCCAUCUGUGUGUGGUCAGAGCCUUGAGCCUUGAAUAGCUGUGGUAGCAAGGCACUCCCUCCAGACUGGAGCCCUCACCCCAAGGUCAUAGCAUCUGGUAGAAUCUCAGCACAGUAGGUGGGGGAAAGGGUUUUGGGAUGCUCCUUUUUUAUUUUCCUUAAACCUGAGAAUUCAGCCUUUUCUGUGUACCUUGCAAGUUGAAUCAAGCAGGAACAUCCCUGAACUCUGUCCUGUUUUUGUAUUUUUUUUUUGUUUCCCACUCGAAACACUUUUUUUUUUUGAUUGGUGUGAAAGGGUUUUCCCAGAGAACAUGACAUCUUGACUCCCAAAAUGACUAUGAAGUAUUGUAAAUGAAAAAAAUACAUAAUUUAUAUUUGAUCUUGGAAAUAAUAAGGAGCCACUGGAGUUUAUUUAAAGGAGGGGAAGUGUGGACAUGAUUAGAAUUGUGUUUUUGAGCAAUCAAUUUGAAAUCCUAUGAGUUGAAGCUUUGAUAGUGUUAGGGGUAAAAUUAGGGUUGUUGGCUUAAUAUGUUAUUUUACUGGUCACUAGGGAUUUAAAUUCAAUCCCAAUAAAAUACUGAAGUCAGUUUGGCA